UCAUGUCAGUCCCCUUCGGGGCACUGCCAGUCUGACUGUCAGAGGCCCCGGGUUCGAAUCCCGUACCGCGCAUAUUUUUUUUCGUAUUUCUUUCUUUUUCUGUUUUGCUGGUUUUCUUUUGAGUAAACCUACC